AUGCGAAAUCUAUUCAAGAUGUCUGAUCUUGGAUUGCUCAGUUUCUACCUAGGAAUUGAGGUGAAGCAGAGCGCGCACGGCAUCAUCAUCAGUCAGAGCGCGUACGCUCGGAAGUUACUCGAGAAGAGCGGCAUGGCAGGAUGCAAGAUAUGCCACACGCCCAUGGAGCCGCGGUUCAAGCUGUCCAAGCAGAGCACGGCACCGGCAGUUGAUGCAAUAGAGUAUCGCAGCAUCGUCGGCAGCCUGCGCUACUUGGUGCACACACGCCCUGACCUGACCUUCUCUGUCGGAUACGUAUCGCAUUUCAUGGAGGCACCAACAGAAGAGCAUCGCACCGCCGUCAAACACAUUCUGAGGUACAUCGCCGGCACGCUACAGCUGGGGCGCAUGUAUGCCAGAGGGGAAGGCACGACGCAAGUUGUUGGUUAUAGUGACAGUGAUCUGGGGGGUGACAUUGAUGAUCGGAAGAGCACCUCCGGAACACUGUUUCUCCUUGGAGGCGGCGCAGUGACUUGGCAGUCUCAGAAGCAGAAGAUCGUCGCUCUCUCAAGCUGCGAAUCCGAGUAUGUCGCGGCGACCACGGCGGCCUGUCAGGGCAUCUGGCUAUCGCGACUGCUCGGCGAGUUCAGAGAGACAGAGACUGGCGCAGUAAAGCUCAAGGUGGAUAACAAGUCAGCAAUCUCCCUGGCUAAGAACCCUGUCAUGCAUGAUAGAUCGAAACACAUUGAACUUUGA
rnacentral:rRNA from 1 species